rnacentral:lncRNA from 1 species
UUGAUUUAGGAUUUAUCUAUAGUUUAGUUACGGCUUAGGAUUUGGUCUAAAAUUUGCUUAGGAUUAGUAUUUGCUUAGGAUUUGAUUUAGAACUUGAAUAGGAGUUGAUUAGGAUUUUUUUAGGAUUUAGGAUUUUAUUAAGAUUUCAUUAGGAUUUGACAUAGGAUUUGAUUAAGAUUCAAUUUGGAUUUCAAUUAGGGUUU